rnacentral:rRNA from 1 species
UGGGGAAUAUUGCACAAUGGGCGCAAGCCUGAUGCAGCGACGCCGCGUGGGGGAUGACGGCCUUCGGGUUGUAAACUCCUUUCGCUAGGGACGAAGCUUUUUGUGACGGUACCUAGAUAAGAAGCACCGGCUAACUACGUGCCAGCAGCCGCGGUAAUACGUAGGGUGCGAGCGUUGUCCGGAAUUACUGGGCGUAAAGGGCUCGUAGGUGGUUUGUCGCGUCGUCUGUGAAAUUCCGGGGCUUAACUCCGGGCGUGCAGGCGAUACGGGCAUAACUUGAGUACUGUAGGGGUAACUGGAAUUCCUGGUGUAGCGGUGAAAUGCGCAGAUAUCAGGAGGAACACCGAUGGCGAAGGCAGGUUACUGGGCAAUUACUGACGCUGAGGAGCGAAAGCAUGGGUAGCGAACAGG